UACGUAGGGUGCAAGCGUUGUCCGGAAUUAUUGGGCGUAAAGAGCUCGUAGGCGGUUUGUCGCGUCUGCUGUGAAAACGCGAGGCUCAACCUCGGGUCUGCAGUCGAUACGAGCAAACUAGAGUGUUGCAGGGGAGACUGGAAUUCCUGGUGUAGCGGUGAAAUGCGCAGAUAUCAGGAGGAACACCGGUGGCGAAGGCGGGUCUCUGGGACGUGACUGACGCUGAGACGCGAAAGCGUGGGGGAGCAAACAGG
rnacentral:rRNA from 1 species